rnacentral:tRNA from 1 species
GGUGUGGUGGUUUGAGCACUGGACUAUGACUCUGGAGACCAGGAUUCAAAUUCCUGCUUGACCA